CCUCCUUUUCUUGGUGGGCAUUGGGAAUACAGUCCUGAUGCCCCAAUAUGUCUAGUGGCAGAGAGCAAGUGCUCCAUGUCCCUUGGUGUCACUGUCAUGUCUUCGGUUCCGGUGGUUUUCAAUCCAUGGGUUCUAUCCUCAAGCGCUGGGACACAA